GAGGCUGGCGUGACCUUCACAUAGACCAGGCUGUGGCUGACUUCCUCACUGCCCUUUCACCUCUUCAUCUGCAGACCUAUCACGAGUUUACAUGUAACCACGGAAAUCUCUCUCUCAUGACUUAACAGAUAAUGGACACCAUUUGCAACAAGUCAAUCCAAAUCAGCCCCUUAAGAAAAUUAAGGUUAGGGGAUCAUGUAUAAGCUA
rnacentral:lncRNA from 1 species